rnacentral:rRNA from 1 species
UCCUGAUUAUAAACUAAAUAAAAAUUUACCAGAGUAGUAUGAAUACAAAAAUUUAAAACUCAAAGGGCUUGGCGGUGUUUUAGACCAUUUAGGGGAACCUGUCCCAUAAUCGACAAUCCACGUUACACCUAACCUUUUUUCGCCUUCAGUUUGUAUACCGUUGUCGUCAGGUAACUUUUAAAAAACUAUAAGUUAGCUAUAAAUUAAAUAAAUUAAAACGUCAAAUCAAGGUGCAGCCCAUAAAAAGGUGAGGAUGGGUUACAAUUACCAUUUAUAAUCACGAAAGAUUUUUAAAAAUAAAAAUCAGAAGGAGGACUUAAAAGUAAAUCAAACUACAAAAACAUUUUGAAUUAGGCUCUGAAACGUGC